GAUAAACGCUGGCGGCGUGCCUAAAACAUGCAAGUCGAACGGUUCACUUCGGUGGGCAGUGGCGAACGGCUGAGUAACACGUGGGUGACCUGCCUUCGAGCGGGGGAUAACUGCCCGAAAGGGUGGCUAAUACCGCAGAUGUCUGUUCUUCGGUGAGCAGACUGAACUUGAGGGGUUCGAAGAGGGGCCUGCGUCCGAUUAGCUAGUUGGUGGGGUGAAGGCCUACCAAGGCGACGAUCGGUAGCUGGUCUGAGAGGAUGAUCAGCCAGACUGGGACUGCGAGACGGCCCAGACUCCUACGGGAGGCAGCAGUUAGGAAUUUUGGGCAAUGGGCGGAAGCCUGACCCAGCAACGCCGCGUGAGUGACGAAGGCCCUCGGGUCGUAAAGCCCUUUUCCCAGGGAAGAUAGUGACGGUACCUGGGGAAUCAGCCCCGGCUAACUACGUGCCAGCCGCCGCUGUAAGAC
rnacentral:rRNA from 1 species